CAGAUGAAGGAGUUGGCCUCCCCCUGCUGUCAGCUAAGGACAACGACGUGGUGUUACUGAGCUUUCAUCUCCCUCCAUGGACUAGAGGUGCAAGGUCCCAGCAGCCACAAUGUGAGAUGGAUGCUCAGGCUAACUCAGUACUUCAAGUGCACACAGUUUGUCCCUACCCCUGGGCCAUGCUGCUGCAAAAGGAUCUGCAAAUAGCAGCUUCUAUAAGAAGAUUUCUGUUUCCUCUAGCCUUCUUCAAGACAUCAUGAGUUAAAGCCACUGGAAAGAAAGAGGAGAAUCAGAAGAACACUGCACAGACUUUCU